GGGUCAGCGACAAGGGGUGAAGUCGUAACAAGGUAGCCGUAGGGGAACCUGUGGCUGGAUCACCU
rnacentral:rRNA from 1 species